CAAUAGCGUAUACUAAAGUUGUUGCAGUUAAAAGCUCGUAGUCGAAUGUAGAUUGUACAGGUGCGCGGACGUUUAGGUGUAUAACUUAUAUUGUCUGUACGCCACAAUCACCCUUAUGUAGUACGGUUGUUUUGGUUUUCAGAACAAAUUUACCGACUACAUACAUUACUGUGAACAAAAUAGAGUGUUCAUGGCAGGCCAAUUAGGCUUGAAUACCUCAGCAUGGAAUAAUAGAAUAGGACUUCUGGUUCUAUUUUGUUGGUUUUUGGAGCCGAAGUAAUGAUUAAUAGGGAUAGUUGGGGGCACUCGUACUCCGUUGUCAGAGGUGAAAUUCUUGGAUUGACGGAAGACGAACAACUGCGAAAGCAUCUGCCAAGGAUGUUUUCAUUAAUCAAGAACGAAAUGUUAGGGGAUCGAAGACGAUCAGAU
rnacentral:rRNA from 1 species